GGUUUUGGCUGUUUCGGUUUUGGUUCAGCUCUGGUUUCAACUCAGAAUUCGUGUUGAUUGGAAGUUUGGUUUUGGAUGCAAAGUUUUGUUCGAACACCAAUAGUUGAUAAUGUUGGAGGAAAUCAUUGGUAGCAAGGAGCUUUUCGUUCUCAGGAUGUUUGUUUCCAUCUGCAUGUAUAAUUAUUGUCUUUCAUUCUACACUCUUAGUACUCACAAACAUAUUUGUAAAAAU
rnacentral:lncRNA from 1 species